UACGUAGGGUGCGAGCGUUAAUCGGAAUUACUGGGCGUAAAGCGUGCGCAGGCGGUUCGCCAAGUAAGAUGUGAAAUCCCCGGGCUCAACCUGGGAACUGCAUUUGUGACUGCAUGGCUAGAGUGCGGCAGAGGGGGAUGGAAUUCCGCGUGUAGCAGUGAAAUGCGUAGAUAUGCGGAGGAACACCGAUGGCGAAGGCAAUCCCCUGGGCCUGCACUGACGCUCAUGCACGAAAGCGUGGGGAGCAAACAGG
rnacentral:rRNA from 1 species